rnacentral:rRNA from 1 species
CCUACGGGUGGCUGCAGUGGGGAAUAUUGGACAAUGGGGGCAACCCUGAUCCAGCCAUGCCGCGUGUGUGAAGAAGGCCCUCGGGUGGUAAAGCACUUUCAGUGAGGAAGAACGCCUGGUGGUUAAUACCCAUCAGGAAAGACAUCACUCACAGAAGAAGCACCGGCUAACUCCGUGCCAGCAGCCGCGGUAAUACGGAGGGUGCGAGCGUUAAUCGGAAUUACUGGGCGUAAAGCGCGCGUAGGUGGCUUGAUAAGCCGGUUGUGAAAGCCCCGGGCUCAACCUGGGAACGGCAUCCGGAACUGUCAAGCUAGAGUGCAGGAGAGGAAGGUAGAAUUCCCGGUGUAGCGGUGAAAUGCGUAGAGAUCGGGAGGAAUACCAGUGGCGAAGGCGGCCUUCUGGACUGACACUGACACUGAGGUGCGAAAGCGUGGGUAGCAAACAGGAUUAGAUACCCCAGUAGUC